CAAAGUCAAUGUGCAGAGGUACGAGGAGUUGAAGUAAUAACGUGGUUUAUAUACAAGGAGUACCGGAACAAAGUCAAUGUGCAGAGGUACGAGGAGUUGAAGUAAUAACGUGGUUUAUAUACAAGGAGUACCGGAACAAAGUCAAUGUGCAGAGGUACGAGGAGUUGAAGUAAUAACGUGGUUUAUAUACAAGGAGUACCGGAACAAAGUCAAUGUGCAGGGGUACGAGGAGUUGAAGUAAUAACGUGGUUUAUAUACAAGGAGUACCGGAACAAAGUCAAUGUGCAGGGGUACGAGGAGUUGAAGUAAUAACGUGGUUUAUAUACAAGGAGUACCGGAACAAAGUCAAUGUGCAGAGGUACGAGGAGUUGAAGUAAUAACGUGGUUUAUAUACAAGGAGUACCGGAACAAAGUCAAUGUGCAGGGGUACGAGGAGUUGAAGUAAUAACGUGGUUUAUAUACAAGGAGUACCGGAACAAAGUCAAUGUGCAGGGGUACGAGGAGUUGAAGUAAUAACGUGGUUUAUAUACAAGGAGUACCGGAACAAAGUCAAUGUGCAGGGGUACGAGGAGUUGAAGUAAUAACGUGGUUUAUAUACAAGGAGUACCGGAACAAAGUCAAUGUGCAGAGGUACGAGGAGUUGAAGUAAUAACGUGGUUUAUAUACAAGGAGUACCGGAACAAAGUCAAUGUGCAGAGGUACGAGGAGUUGAAGUAAUAACGUGGUUUAUAUACAAGGAGUACCGGAACAAAGUCAAUGUGCAGAGGUACGAGGAGUUGAAGUAAUAACGUGGUUUAUAUACAAGGAGUACCGGAACAAAGUCAAUGUGCAGAGGUACGAGGAGUUGAAGUAAUAACGUGGUUUAUAUACAAGGAGUACCGGAACAAAGUCAAUGUGCAGAGGUACGAGGAGUUGAAGUAAUAACGUGGUUUAUAUACAAGGAGUACCGGAACAAAGUCAAUGUGCAGAGGUACGAGGAGUUGAAGUAAUAACGUGGUUUAUAUACAAGGAGUACCGGAACAAAGUCAAUGUGCAGGGGUACGAGGAGUUGAAGUAAUAACGUGGUUUAUAUACAAGGAGUACCGGAACAAAGUCAAUGUGCAGAGGUACGAGGAGUUGAAGUAAUAACGUGGUUUAUAUACAAGGAGUACCGGAACAAAGUCAAUGUGCAGAGGUACGAGGAGUUGAAGUAAUAACGUGGUUUAUAUACAAGGAGUACCGGAACAAAGUCAAUGUGCAGAGGUACGAGGAGUUGAAGUAAUAACGUGGUUUAUAUACAAGGAGUACCGGAACAAAGUCAAUGUGCAGAGGUACGAGGAGUUGAAGUAAUAACGUGGUUUAUAUACAAGGAGUACCGGAACAAAGUCAAUGUGCAGGGGUACGAGGAGUUGAAGUAAUAUGUACAUGUAGGUAAGUGUAAAAGUGACUAGGCAAUCAGGAUAGAUAAUAAACAGAGUGUGUGUGUGUG